rnacentral:rRNA from 1 species
UACAGAGGUCUCAAGCGUUGUUCGGAUUCAUUGGGCGUAAAGGGUGCGUAGGCGGCGCGGUAAGUCGGGUGUGAAAUCUCGGAGCUUAACUCCGAAACUGCAUUCGAUACUGCCGUGCUUGAGGACUGGAGAGGAGACUGGAAUUUACGGUGUAGCGGUGAAAUGCGUAGAUAUCGAAAGGAAGACCAGUGGCGAAGGCGGGUCUCUGGACAGUUCCUGACGCUGAGGCACGAAGGCCUGGGGAGCAAACGGG